rnacentral:lncRNA from 1 species
ACAUCUGGACCUGAAGGAAAGAAGCAACAGGCAAAGGGCACUAAAGGGACAGCAAGAACCUAUUCUGCAUGGCUCCCAGUAGAAGAGGGGCUCACGGGGGGCUUUGUGGUGUGUUGGGGUGGUGGUGGCAGACGUCAGGUGGACAGAUGGGGCUGGAGACUAAGUUGUAAGGUCAGAGUCUCACUCACAGGGAAGGGGCCAUGUGGGUUUGUAAGCGAAGCUGGCUUUGCCCUCUAGCAAGAUCUCCAAGCCGGCCUGGACAAGAAGCACUGUCGGGGGGCACUGUGGAGGGAGGCAGGAGACUCAGCUAGUGCAGUCCGCUGGUCUCCAAGGCAAAGCACCUCCCAUGCUUGUGUGUGCAGCACCAGAGGGGCCACCCCCACCUUGAAGGGAUGCCUUGGCUGUGGGUGGCCUCUUCUAGGUUGGGAGUGUUGCUUGGUGAUGCGGUUAUUGGUGAAAGGAUACAUUUAAUAUCUAACACCUGCUGAUACUUUGUGGGGACUGGACCUGGAGGAAGAAGAAUCAAAGGCUUCCGGAGCCCCAGAGACUGGCAGAAAAGGCGUCGGGUGUGGGUCUGCUUCUCCUGCAGCCUGUUCUCUUCAGCCUGUAGUCGGAGCCCUUGUAUUCUUAUCUUCUUCCUAAAGCCUCGCAGCUGCUUGUGGGCAUUUCCUGAGAAGCCAAGCGGGUUCCCUCCCCUGAAGAUGAAAUGCUCACUAGCUCUGUAGCUCCCCCCACCACCCCACAUCUGUGAGGGUCCAGCUUCCUGAUGUCCCCUGAGGGCUGCUGUGACACAGCACAGUGACAGACUCCAACACACAGCAGACACACGCGGGAUGAGCUGACGUUGAGGAAGUCAGUAGAGAGAACCCACCAUCCCACCAGCCCUCCUCGGCCCCUUGGUCUUUUCACAGAGUCCAACCGUUAUCCUUCCCUUUGUAGGAAAAAGCCGAGCUACCCGCAACCCCCGACCACUGCUGCGCAGGGCACUCAGCGGAAGGAAAGGCCUCUCUCUCCCCAUGGUGUCUGCCCUUUGCCGGAGCAGCCGUGCCUGACAAGCCCAGAUUUUAUGUUCUCUUCUGAGGAGGGAGAAGCAAACUUUCUGAGAUAGAUGCUUUUGGAGGAGAUCAAGCAGUCACUUGAAAACGAGACAAAGGUUUUUCUCUCAGGCGAGGGUUCUGUUCAGGGGAAAUCUCACUGUGAGUCGGAUCCAUUGUGUGGCUGAGAGCAGGUGCUUCAGAGGGUGGUGGGGGCGGCCAUCAGCUGACCACAGAGGAGGCCGUUUGAUGGCGCGUGGCGAUCAGAACAGGAGCAUGCUGGGGGUCGGGUGGGCCACAGCACCAUGGAGGGCAGCUGCUUCAUUUUACAGAUGGGGCAAUGACAUCAGUGCGUGAGGAUGUCUCUGACCACACAGUGGUUUGUAGCAGGGCUGGGCUGGGGUCCAGCGCCAGGCACCCACCCUGUGGUCCUAUCUGACAAGUGGAUAUCCUGAAGUCCCACCUGCUCCUCGUCAGUAGGCACGUCUUACUUUGUGGUUGGCUCAUUAGGGACAAUGGCAUGAACCAGCCACCCCAAGAUCCCUAUUUCAGUCUGUGGUUACGAUUUUCUGCUAAUUUUUGAAGAGUUGAUGAGACUAUCUUUUGCGUGUUUUUGUACAAACUUCUUUUAACUACUAAGCUGUCAUCCACCCAUUUAUUCAGCAAGUAUUUAUCGGAUGUUGCUGUGGGGCCUCAUGGGCCUGGGAUGCUGAGGUGGAUUAGACACAGUCCCUGCCAGAGGUCUUCAACUCCACUAGCCAUGGUCAUUGCCUCAUUGUCCUGAGACCCCUCCGGUGGGUCUGGGAGGUCACAGCUGAUUUCCUGGGGUUCAUUGUUGACCCUGGCCCUAUCUCAAGGCUGUGCAGGAGACAUCCAGGAGGAAGAAUGUCCGGAGCCCAGCGCCAUCCGUGAAAGAUUUGCAGACUGUCAAACACUUUCUGCACUAAUGUUUACAAAAAGAGUUCGAAUUCCUAAAGUAUGUUGAUUAUGGUUAACAAGGAUGGGGCUUAUUGCUAUUUUAAGAACUGUCUUGAUUUCUAACACAGUAAAUAUGGCAGGCAAAGGUCUAAGUUU